GGCUUCUCAGCUCUGCUUAAUCACACGAGUCCAGUGUGUGCUUGGCAUGUUUUCAGGGAGGCAAAGAAAGGCUCUCCUAAUGCACAACAGAACCGCCUAAAAUGGCCUCCCUGUUCUUAGGAGUACAACAGUU
ensembl:snoRNA